UUAAAAUCUUUCUCUUUACAUGUUUCAGAAAACAUUUUGGGCUGUUCAGUUGCAGACUGAGCAAGACUUGGAGAAAAGGCACGCACAGUUUUAUUUAAACAGCAAGUAGGCUGGUAUCAUCCUGAUAUCUAUUAUUACCAGCUACUGUGCCACGAGCACCUACUUACAGUGACAGUGUUGCAGACACUACUGAAAGCUUUUGAAAACGUGCCUUUUCUUUCUGGAUCUCAGUCUGGCACCCUCAAUUCCUGCUGUCUCAGUGGCUGGUCAGUCUUACAUCUGUGGAAAAGGCCUUGAAGAUGGUUUGCAGAAGUCUUUGGAAUCUUUUAAUUUUCAGGAUAUCAGUUGAAGCCAUACCAAACCACUUCUGACAUGAAUCUAUUUCCAACAAAUAGUUUAGCAGUGUUUGAUAUAGUCUGCAGAUGGCAAUAUACCACAGACACCUCCAUCUCUGUAUCUCUGGUAUCAUUAUUGCAAAUGUCAGUUUUCCUAGAAUGGACCAAAGAUUGCUGGAGUGUACUCACUGGAGUUCACAAUGUAGGGCACCAGUUUGUUUAUAAUUUGCUGCCUAAACCAGGUUUUGUGCUAAUUACUUUUCUUUGGAGUUGCCAACUCAGCAUCUUCCACAAACCUUGUCUCCUUCUUGGGUGUUUUUGUUUAAGAAAUUUAUUUUUUCAUGGAGAAAACAUCGUUUUGCUCUGGUUCUAUAACUUCAUGGAUAUUACAUAUAUAGUAUGUAGAGAUUUUCUAAUAUACUUCUCAUCUUCCAUUGUACAUUCUCCCUAAUUAGCUUUGAGCUUUCAUAUAGUGUCUUUCAUCUAGGGAUAUUAAACUACUUGUUACCAAUAAUUUACCUUUAUCAUGGAGAUGACCAGUUUCUAUUACAUUGUAUUCUUUCCUUCCCAGUUGUUACUACCAUUCUAGAUGCAGCUGCUAUGCCAUUUUUGCCUAACAAGGCCAGAAACUAGAUGUAAUUGAAAGGAUUAGAAAGUAGCCUGCAUGCUGUGCAAUUUUCCAAUUAUACAUUUUGCAACUGUAGGCUGGUUUUUGAUCAAUCAACAGAUUGUGAGCCUUGAUAUCAGUAAAUGCUUUAUAAAAAAGCCCAAACUGAGUAAGAGUAAAAUUAAUAAUUAUUUUUUUUUGCCAGUAACCAGUGCAGUCUCAAACACUUUAAACGUAAAGUGGAGAACAGUUUAAGUAAUAAAGGCACACAACAUGUUGUACACUUAACCAUAUCUUCAGUCUGUCAAUCUCAAGCAAUUUUAAUGCCUCAAAAGGACAUUAUGCAGUGAAGUACAUGAGAAAAAGAAAAGAAUUUCAACCCUCAAAAGACUGUAUUAUGCUUUAGAAUGGAUGUAUUCUUUAUUUUAACAUGGUUUAACAUGAAUCACUAUUAAUGUCAUGGCUUAUACAGUUGUUUCAGACAAAUUUCAUUUUAUAAUAGGAAGAUAAUUAUUUAAGUUUGGUAAGGUCCUCAUAGAAUUAUUUACUGAUCAAACAAAGUCAUGAUGUUGAAUUUAACAAGUUUAGUCUUUUCUUACUGUUUUUUUUUAACCUGAAAAUAUUUUUCUGGAGCUUAUCAUUAAUUACCACCUUGUGGCUUAUUGGUAUUACUUCUUUUGAAUGUAUGGGAGCAGCAAGCCUUGGUCUCUAAAGGAGGAAGCAGCAGGUCAAGCAUUUAAUUUUGCAUUUGCAGGCAGAUAAUUUGUUCAUAUUAACACAUCUGUGGCCUUUUUUAUAAUGAAAGCAAAAGGACUGACUGUAUGGUAUGAAUCCUUGGGAUAAAAUGGAUUUUUUACAUGUGUUCAAAAUAGAAGUCUCAGUGAGCAUUCACUGAAACUCUGCUGUUUUGUUCAAUACAAAUUAACAGCUUAAUCAUUGUUUAUACAUCUCUGGGAAUUGAUAUACAGGAUCUGCAAAUACAGUAAAAAUAAAUUAAUUUUAAAUGGG